rnacentral:rRNA from 1 species
UACGUAGGGUCCGAGCGUUGUCCGGAAUUAUUGGGCGUAAAGGGCUCGUAGGCGGUUCGUCACGUCGGGAGUGAAAACUCGGAGCUUAACUCCGAGCCUGCUUCCGAUACGGGCAGACUAGAGGUAGGCAGGGGAGAGCGGAACUCCUGGUGUAGCGGUGGAAUGCGCAGAUAUCGGGAGGAACGCCGGUGGCGAAGGCGGUUCUCUGGGCCUUGACCUGACGCUGAGGAGCGAAAGCGUGGGGAGCGAACAGG